UCGACGCCUGUAGCAAUACAGGAGUGGCAGACGGGUGAGUAACACGUGGGAACGUGCCCAAAGGUACGGAACAACUCCGGGAAACUGGAGCUAAUACCGUAUGUGCCCGAAAGGGGAAAGAUUCAUCGCCUUUGGAUCGGCCCGCGUCUGAUUAGCUAGUUGGUGAGGUAAUGGCUCACCAAGGCGACGAUCAGUAGCUGGUCUGAGAGGAUGGCCAGCCACACUGGGACUGAGACACGGCCCAGACUCCUACGGGAGGCAGCAGUGGGGAAUAUUGGACAAUGGGCGCAAGCCUGAUCCAGCCAUGCCGCGUGAGUGAUGAAGGCCCUAGGGUUGUAAAGCUCUUUCGCCAGGGACGAUAAUGACGGUACCUGGAUAAGAAGCCCCGGCUAACUUCGUGCCAGCAGCCGCGGUAAUACGAAGGGGGCUAGCGUUGUUCGGAAUCACUGGGCGUAAAGCGUAUGCAGGCGGAUCGUUAAGUGAGGGGUGAAAUCCCGAGGCUCAACCUCGGAACUGCCUUUCAUACUGACGAUCUUGAGUCCGGGAGAGGUGAGUGGAACUGCGAGUGUAGAGGUGAAAUUCGUAGAUAUUCGCAAGAACACCAGUGGCGAAGGCGGCUCACUGGCCCGGUACUGACGCUGAGAUACGAAAGCGUGGGGAGCAAACAGGA
rnacentral:rRNA from 1 species